GUGUCAGCCGCCGCGGUAAUACGGAGGGAGCUAGCGUUGUUCGGAAUUACUGGGCGUAAAGCGCACGUAGGCGGCUUUGUAAGUUAGAGGUGAAAGCCCGGAGCUCAACUCCGGAACUGCCUUUAAGACUGCAUCGCUUGAAUCCAGGAGAGGUGAGUGGAAUUCCGAGUGUAGAGGUGAAAUUCGUAGAUAUUCGGAAGAACACCAGUGGCGAAGGCGGCUCACUGGACUGGUAUUGACGCUGAGGUGCGAAAGCGUGGGGAGCAAACAGGAUUAGAAACCCCAGUAGUCC
rnacentral:rRNA from 1 species